CGCCUGGGGAGUACGGCCGCAAGGUUAAAACUCAAAUGAAUUGACGGGGACCCGCACAAGUAGUGGUGCAUGUGGUUUAAUUCGAAGAUACGCGCAGAACCUUACCAACACUUGACAUGUUCGUCGCGACUCUAAGAGAUUAGAGUUUUCGGUUCGGCCGGACGAAACACAGGUGCUGCAUGGCUGUCGUCAGCUCGUGUCGUGAGAUGUUGGGUUAAGUCCCGCAACGAGCGCAACCCUCACUUUUAGUUGCCAUCAUUAAGUUGGGCACUCUGAAAGAACUGCCAGUGAUAAGCUGGAGGAAGGUGGGGAUGACGUCAAGUCCUCAUGGCCCUUACGUGUUGGGCUACACACGUGCUACAAUGGCAUCUACAACAGGAAGCAAAACGGCAACGUUAAGCAAAUCCCGAAAAGAUGCCUCAGUUCGGAUUGCACUCUGCAACUCGAGUGCAUGAAGCUGGAAUUACUAGUAAUCGUGGAUCAGCGUGCCACGGUGAAUGCGUUCCCGGGUCUUGUACACACCGCCCGUCACACCAUGGGAGUUGGUUCUACCUUAAGGCAAGGUUUUAAACCCUUGACCACGGUAUAGUCAGCGACUGGGGUGAAGUCGUAACAAGGUAACCGUA
rnacentral:rRNA from 1 species